UACUAGCGGUGUAAUCAUUGUGAAGUUGCGUCGUGGACAAGAGCUGAAACUUAAGGCAGUUGCUAGAAAAGGGAUUGGUAAGGAUCAUGCCGAGUGAUCACCUGCUGCAACUGUUACAUUUAUGUAUGAACCUCAAAUACACAAACAAAGAUCUGAUGGAAAAAUUGACAAUCGAAGAGAAGAGAAGUUGGGUCGCGAGCAGCCCUACAAAAGUCUUUGGCAUCGAUCCGAAUACUCAACAGACUGAGACUUCAUAGCUGAAGUGCCAUUGGUGAAGUAAAAGGCUUCAGACAGUUUCUCUAAAAUGUGGUGAUAUAUUGAUCCUGAGGCACAAGAAAGCAGAGGCGAUGGGGAAACCGGGGCUUGUCGAGAUCUAUGCCAAAGUAGAAUUGACAGGUGCUCGACGAUGCCCCGAAGCAGAAGAAGCCUCUGCUUGGGAAUGUAUGAUUCCGGCUAGUGGGUCUCGAUACAUUUCCUCGGACAUGCAUGCAAGUGUUGUAUUGUCCUAAAUCAGUGAGUUGCAUUAGGUGACGCAUCUCGCCUCUGUCAACUUAAUGAGCCACCCGGUCAACGCGGAUCGAAACGUUUGCCGAGGCACAUUAACACCCUACUUAGGCUUGAUCCCUCACGCCACGUCAACGGCAAUGUCAGACACUAUCAGAAGUACGAUCAUGCUCCCUACGAGCAGGCACAUCAUGCAACGGUAAUUCUUACUAUAAUAACCCUUACGUUUUGAAGGAAAAGGGAGACGAACCAAAAGAAACCCCCUUCACCUUACACUAACUUGAUCGUCUGUGGGGUCGGGCUGAGCUCCCCGACCCGAUCUUUGUGCAGGUGCGAAGGCCGAGGUAUCCCGCUAAACGCCCAGGUGAGGAGUUUCUUUUCGGAGGAAAUGGCGAUCCCGUCCCGAUCGGACCAUCGUAAUCGAUCAGCUCAGUAGUCUCGAGAAACGUCCCAAGGAGAUCCCCCAUCAUCCGGAUCCGAACCAGCCGCGUCGACCCCAAGGCCACGGCUCCAGAUUGUUUCCCAUGACAACAGAACAAGAUCAUCGACUCCCGUCAUUCUGUUCGAAGCCCCUCAUGCUGCUACGUUCGUGAGGCUUAUCGUGGGGAGCGUUUGCACCGGUGUGGCAUUCUGCCCAAACCUUCCGACUCAAUCAUAGCGAAGAAUCUAUUGCUUGUUUGUCAGCCAAGAAUUCAACAUGCUCGUGUUCGUUGUACAGCGCAAUCAUG